rnacentral:rRNA from 1 species
UGGGGAAUAUUGCACAAUGGGCGCAAGCCUGAUGCAGCCAUGCCGCGUGUAUGAAGAAGGCCUUCGGGUUGUAAAGUACUUUCAGCGGGGAGGAAGGCGAUAAGGUUAAUAACCUUGUCGAUUGACGUUACCCGCAGAAGAAGCACCGGCUAACUCCGUGCCAGCAGCCGCGGUAAUACGGAGGGUGCAAGCGUUAAUCGGAAUUACUGGGCGUAAAGCGCACGCAGGCGGUCUGUCAAGUCGGAUGUGAAAUCCCCGGGCUCAACCUGGGAACUGCAUUCGAAACUGGCAGGCUAGAGUCUUGUAGAGGGGGGUAGAAUUCCAGGUGUAGCGGUGAAAUGCGUAGAGAUCUGGAGGAAUACCGGUGGCGAAGGCGGCCCCCUGGACAAAGACUGACGCGCAGGUGCGAAAGCGUGGGGAGCAAACA